rnacentral:rRNA from 1 species
AUGCAUGUCUAAGUACGAGCUUUCACAAGCGAAACUGCGGAUGGCUCAUUAAAUCAGUUAUGGUUCCUUGGAGCGCAUCCCCCCUACACGGAUAACUGUGGUAAUUCUAGAGCUAAUACAUGCCAGCAAGCGCCGACCUCGCGGGAGGCGUGCUUUUAUUAGGAACAAGACCAACCCGGGGCUCCGUCCCCGGCUCCGUUGGCGAACUCUGGAUAACCCGGCCGAUCGCACGGUCCUCGCACCGGCGACGGAUCCUUCGAAUGUCUGCCCUAUCAACUUUCGAUGGUACGUUAUGCGCCUACCAUGGUCGUAACGGGUGACGGAGAAUCAGGGUUCGAUUCCGGAGAGGGAGCUUGAGAAACGGCUACCACA